UACGUAGGCAGCAAGCGUUGUUCGGAGUUACUGGGCGUAAAGGGUGCGUAGGCGGCUUGGUAAGUGUGGUCUGAAAGCCCCCGGCUCAACCGGGGAGGGUGGCUGGAAACUGGGGUUCUUGAGGGCGAGAGAGGAGGGUGGAAUUCCUGGUGUAGCGGUGAAAUGCGUAGAGAUCAGGAGGAACACCCGGGGCGAAGGCGGCCCUCUGGCUCGACCCUGACGCUGAGGCGCGAAAGCGUGGGGAGCGAACGGG
rnacentral:rRNA from 1 species